rnacentral:rRNA from 1 species
GGGAUAGCCAUUGGAAACGAUGAUUAAAACCUCAUAAUGCCGAAGGAACACAUGUUUCAUCGGCCAAAGAUUUAUCGGUCAGGGAUGGGCCUGCGUCUGAUUAACUAGUUGGUGAGGUAACGGCCCACCAAGGUGACGAUCAGUAGCCGACCUGAGAGGGUGAUCGGCCACAUUGGAACUGAGACACGGUCCAAACUUCUACGGAAGGCAGCAGUAGGGAAUCUUGCACAAUGGGCGAAAGCCUGAUGCAGCAACGCCGCGUGAAGGAUGAAGGCCUUCGGGUUGUAAACUUCUGUUCUUAGGGAAGAAGAAAGUGACGGUACCUAAGGAGAAAGCCCCGGCUAACUACGUGCCAGCAGCCGCGGUAAUACGUAGGGGGCAAGCGUUAUCCGGAAUUAUUGGGCGUAAAGAGUGCGUAGGUGGUUAUCUAAGCGUAAGGUUUAAGCGUGCAGCUCAACUGCAUCUUGCCUUGCGAACUGGACUACUUGAGUGCAGGAGGGGAAAGCGGAAUUCCUAGUGUAGCGGUGAAAUGCGUAGAUAUUAGGAGGAACACCAGCGGCGAAGGCGGCUUUCUGGACUGUAACUGACACUGAGGCACGAAAGCGUGGGGAGCAAACAGGAUUAGAUACCCUGGUAGUCCACGCCGUAA